AGCUCUUGAAUCUGUGUAGAGAUUUCGUCAAACACAAACCCACUAGGACUGAUCACACUCUCAAGAUGAGUGAAGUU
rfam:Schistosoma haematobium scaffold744_2, whole genome shotgun sequence.